rnacentral:rRNA from 1 species
ACGGGUGAGUAACACGUGGGGAAUCUGCCCUGAACUCUGGGACAAGCCUUGGAAACGAGGUCUAAUACCGGAUAUGACCUUCUCCUGCAUGGGGGUUGGUGGAAAGCUCCGGCGGUUCAGGAUGAUCCCGCGGCCUAUCAACUUGUUGGUGGGGUAAUGGCCUACCAAGGCGACUACUGGUAGCCGGCCUGAGAGGGCGACCGGCCACACUGGGACUGAGACACGGCCCAGACUCCUACCGGAGGCAGCAGUGGGGAAUAUUGCACAAUGGGCGAAAGCCUGAUGCAGCGACGCCGCGUGAGGGAUGACGGCCUUCGGGUUGUAAACCUCUUUCAGCAGGGAAGAAGCGCAAGUGACGGUACCUGCAGAAGAAGCACCGGCUAACUACGUGCCAGCAGCCGCGGUAAUACAUAGGGUGCGAGCGUUGUCCGGAAUUAUUGGGCGUAAAGAGCUCGUAUGCGGCCGGUCGCGUCUGAUGUGAAAGCCCGGGGCUUAACCCCGGGUCUGCAUUCGAUACGGGCAGGCUGGAGUGUGGUAGGGGAGAUCGGAAUUCCUGGUGUAGCGGUGAAAUGCGCAGA